UCAGGAUGAUUUUGUUAUAAAUAAAGUUUACGUCAAAUAACAGAUUUUGUGGUUCUGUACCAAUAUGAUUAUGUGCAAUGGAAACGUAAUAGGCCAUUGUUUUAUCCUUUGAGAAAAUAUGGUUUUGACUGAGUAAAGUUAAAAGAGGAAAUUAGUAUUUUGCUAAAAGGAAAACAGCUAUUGCAUGUAGAAAAAUGUUUCCCCCACAGCUAAUUCACCUUUUCCGCUUAAAAGAAGCAGAUUAUCAUGGAAUGGAGGGCCACUUGACUGAAAUGACACAAUAGACCAGAAUCCACGGAGAGCCGGCAUUAUCAUCAAUUCAAAAUAACGAGACUAUAGCGAAGUAGUCACUUUGGACUCUUACUUCUGAUGUUACAUUUACCGUCACGGGCGACACGUCGAGGGAGGUCUCGUGAAAGCCAUUCUAGCGAAGAAAUUCUACACCCAUUUUCAUACCGCGUCCCAUUUACCAGAAAACAUUAUCAUAUGACUCUCGAAGACCACGUGCUGUAUUUCGUUCUCUACUACGGUUAAGACGCUCAUCUUUGUCAACUUCAAACUCCUGAGCUCGACUUUUUCUCAUACGAUAUGCACGUGAAAAAGGUGUCCCCAUCUUGAAAUAGCUACUUUAUCCUAAGUACUAGUUUUUAUAAUUACACUGAGUGUAAUUCUGAGUUUUUAUAAUUACACUAAAAUAAAAUACUUUUCAUGUAUAAAAAAAACAUCAAAAACACAAUAUAGGAACACAGGA